CACAAAAAAAAAAAAAUUGUGAAAAGAGAGCAGACGCGUCUAAAAUUUUGGAAUUAAGUGAUAUCCUAUUAAUCUAAAUAAUAAUGAGUAAUGGCGGUAGUGCUGGGGCGCUGGGCGGCACACGUCCGCCACCACGCAUCGAUGGCAUGGUUUCGCUGAAGGUCGACAAUCUUACAUAUCGCACUACUCCCGAGGACUUGCGUCGCGUCUUUGAGCGUUGUGGAGAAGUGGGUGAUAUUUACAUACCGCGGGACCGCUACACACGUGAGAGCCGUGGCUUUGCUUUCGUCCGCUUCUACGACAAACGUGAUGCUGAAGACGCACUGGAGGCCAUGGAUGGUCGCAUGUUAGAUGGCAGGGAGCUCCGAGUCCAGAUGGCUCGUUAUGGCCGUCCCUCGUCGCCCACUCGCAGCAACGGUCGUCGUGGUGGUGGAUCUGGUGGUGGUGGUGGUGGUGGCGGAGGAGGUGCAGGCGGUGGAGGUGGAGGCGGUCGUCGUCGCUCGCGUUCCCGUUCACCUAGGCGCCGCCCUUCGCGUAGUCCACGUCGUCGCUCCUACUCGCCACGCUCGCGCUCUCAGUCGGCUGGCAGCCAUUCGCCGGAGCGCCGCACCAAGUUCUCGCGCAGUCCAGUGCGCGGUGAGAGUCGCAACGGUAUCGGGGCAUCCGCCUUGGCUGUGGGAGCCUCCCGUAGUCGCAGUCGCUCUUAAUAUUCACGUUCCAAUUGGUGCGAGUCUUGCAGUUUUGCACUCGCCUGACAAGACAGAUCCCGAUCAUGGAUCUUGCUCCACAUCCUGUCAUGCUGUACCAGAACAGCAGGCAAAUUGGUGUGUGGCAGUGUUGCGGUUGAGAAUAAUGUUAUGGUUAUUGCGAGGGAGGAGGAGAGCAGAUCAGAGAUCAGUGAGAUCGGAGAUCGGAUCCGAUCAGCAGAGGCAUCAGAGCAUCUUCUUCUUCCCCCGUCCAGCGCUAGCAGAGAGACAACACGACACGACACGAGAGCGGACAUCGCGUAGCUGUUGCUGUUGCUGUUACUGCUGCCGUUGCCGCGUUGGCGUUUCCUGUCAGCCGCUGUCGCCGCCACCUCCACCGCUGCUACUGCUACUGCUGCUGCUGGUGCUGCUGUUGCUGUUGCUGCUGCCGUGCUGCACUCGAUCAGAGUGGGAGAAAAAAGAAAAGGGAUAGACUAUAUAGACUGUUUCCUUGGGCUGUUUGCUGUUGGCCGUUUCCCGGUUCCGGUUUCCUGUUACUUCACUUCUCUCGUCCCGUCGUUUGUUGCUGUUUGCCGGUUGCUGGUUGCCGGUUGCUGAUUGGCGUUGUUGGUGUUUUCCUGUCUUGCCGCUUGGCGUUUGGUGGUCGUCCAUUUUAAGUUUAGGCGAAUAAACAGAUUUCCAGCAGAAGCUACGAUGGAGUCGCCGUUGGACUCUGCAAAUGGGAAUGAAUCUCUUGCAGGCCAACCUGCUGUGGCCUGGAUUAGUGCCCCCUAUCAUCUGUUCAGUGUGGUAAGUGCCAAUAAAACGAAGACUAACAUUUAAAAUCAUGUUGCAGCUAAAACAAAUAUUCAAUAAAGUCCAAUUAAUCUACAACUAUUUUUUUUUUCUUGUGGAUUGGAUAGAGGCUUCAUCGAAACUAAUUUUCAGGCAGUAGGCGAGUUUGACCACAUUUGACACUUACGUCAAGCAUUUAUUUGACUGCAUUUCCACAUUUAAGCCAUUCAAAAUUCGUAGUUCAAUAGUGCAAGUCCUCUUUAAUUUGGCAUUAAUCUAGGGACAGAUUCGUGACUAAAUUCCCGUUUAGAAUCCUCGCAGUAAGGACGAACCUACAAAGCCAAUAAAGCCCACAAAGAAU